CCUACGGGUGGCAGCAGUGGGGAAUAUUGGACAAUGGGGGGAACCCUGAUCCAGCCAUGCCGCGUGUGUGAAGAAGGCCCUCGGGUUGUAAAGCACUUUCAGUGAGGAAGAACGCCUGGUGGUUAAUACCCAUCAGGAAAGACAUCACUCACAGAAGAAGCACCGGCUAACUCCGUGCCAGCAGCCGCGGUAAUACGGAGGGUGCGAGCGUUAAUCGGAAUUACUGGGCGUAAAGCGCGCGUAGGUGGCUUGAUAAGCCGGUUGUGAAAGCCCUGGGCUCAACCUGGGAACGGCAUCCGGAACUGUCAAGCUAGAGUGCAGGAGAGGAAGGUAGAAUUCCCGGUGUAGCGGUGAAAUGCGUAGAGAUCGGGAGGAAUACCAGUGGCGAAGGCGGCCUUCUGGACUGACACUGACACUGAGGUGCGAAAGCGUGGGUAGCAAACAGGAUUAGAUACCCGGGUAGUC
rnacentral:rRNA from 1 species